UACGUAGGGGGCUAGCGUUGUCCGGAAUCAUUGGGCGUAAAGCGCGUGUAGGCGGUCCGGUAAGUCCGCUGUGAAAGUCGGGGGCUCAACCCUCGAAUGCCGGUGGAUACUGUCCGGGCUAGAGUGCGGAAGAGGCGAGUGGAAUUCCUGGUGUAGCGGUGAAAUGCGCAGAUAUCAGGAGGAACACCAAUUGCGAAGGCAGCCUCGCUGGGACGUAACUGACGCUGAGACGCGAAAGCGUGGGGAGCAAACAGG
rnacentral:rRNA from 1 species